CCGUCAAAUAGAUGUAAUCUUCUCAUUAAUUACACAUUUUGUAUCAUAAUGUAUUUCAAAGAAUGAAGAUAACAGGGUUUUUCGUUUAUGCUUUUGUAGUUCUGAUCAUUUAUUUGUGCAUUGUUUUAAGUGAAUUCUGCUACAAGUCACAAGGCCGGUGCUCCAUGCAGUGCACCAUCUUCACGGUGCUCUUUCUGAACUUGAUUUCUGACAUCUUCCAGAGCUGAGGCUGUGACUGGUGAACUUAGAAAACAUCAAAAACAGAAUUUGUUUCUGUAGACACGUUUUAGGAAAGAGUUCUCUUCCCGAAGUCCAGGAGGAGCCACAUACCAAGGAUGUUCUGUUCCUUCCCAUUGUCGUUUUGUGGCAAGCCUUGAGUUAACGGUACCUCUACCGAGAGCAAAUAUGCUUGGUGUCCCCAAAGUCCUAGCAGUACCAUGCCUGUACUGAUCUGUAGACUUUGAUUUCUGUGUCCAGCCAGCGCAGUGUAGUGACACUGACUGAAGCCUUUGUUCUAGAUCUGUCAUCCUAUUCAAGGAUGGUUUGCAUUUUGUAAAAUUACCCUGCACCUGGAGCUGCAUGCCUUAAGCCUGAAACCUGGGCCGUGCUCGCAGUGGACAGUCUCUGUUCCCCACGCAGGAAGCGGGGUCCACAGCGCUUCUCUGACUACCUUUGGAAGGACUGUACAAUGUUAGAAUAAUUUAUUUUGCUUUACAGGAGUUUGUCAUGCAUUGACUUUAAUAUUGUAUUUUGGUAAUAAAUUUUUUGUUAAAAACACUUGCCUCUAAGUUUUAUUAACAAGGUUAAAUCCAUUCUUAUCUUGGAAAUGUUGAUUUGAUCGCUUAGAAAGUUGGGUUUAAAUAAUGAAGAACUUCCCAAAGGUUAAACUAAGGCUUAUCAUUACCCUUUGGUAGCGUGUUUUAAACUAUUGCUGACGAGCAUUAAACUGUGUUACACAAAGAUGAAAAGGCAUUUACAUUGUUUCCAUGGUUUUAAAAAUUCAGUCUAAUUUUAAAGCUUCUUUCCUUGCUAUACAGUUCAUUUUAUCUUCUGAAUCACAUCUUUAUGUGCUUUAAAUUCUGAUAUAGUCAAAGUGCUAAAAACUAGCUCUGUUAAUGACCAUUAGCAGUCUUUAUUGAAGACCAAAGAUUACAAUAAUGUGUUCACAGCUUGAUCAUUUUGGGGUCUAUAUCAAAUAUUUUUCACACUAGGUUGUCGCAUUGGCAAGUAAAGCUAACGUCAUCUGACUAUCAUUGCUCUGGUUAUCCAUUUAUGCCCUAGAAUCCUGGGCCGCCUCAGCUUAAAGUGAGGCCAGAUAUUUCUUCCUAAUAGCUGUAAUUCCUUGUCCUAACUCCCCAGGGGCAACAUAAUUAUAUCCCCAUUUCAAGAACCAAAUCCCAACAGUGUGUCACUGAAGUCCAGGUUGCUUGUAGAAAUCCCAGCAUGGAAGAUCCAGAACAUAUGGUGCCGUUCGGUAGCCACGAGCUGCCUGUGGCUACUGAGCGCUUGAAGUGUGACUAGUAUCCAGUCAAUGUCCAAUACACAACAGUUUCGAAGACUUAAUACAAAAACAAAUGUAAAUUAGCUCAUAAUAGUUUUUUAUAUUGAUUACAUGUGAAAUAUUUUGGAUAUUUUGGGUUAAAUAAAAUAUAUUAAAAUUAAUUUCACUUGUUUUUAUU
ensembl:lncRNA